rnacentral:rRNA from 1 species
AUUGAACGCUGGCGGAAUGCUUAACACAUGCAAGUCGAGCGGGCUGUAGCAAUACAGCUAGCGGCGGACGGGUGAGGAAUACAUAGGAAUCUGCCUCAGAGUGGGGGAUAGCCCGGGGAAACCCGGAUUAAUACCGCAUGAUGUCGUAAGACCAAAGCAGGGGACCGUAAGGCCUUGCGCUUUGAGAUGAGCCUAUGUCGGAUUAGCUAGUUGGCGGGGUAAAAGCCCACCAAGGCGACGAUCCGUAGCUGGUCUGAGAGGACGAUCAGCCACACCGGAACUGAGACACGGUCCGGACUCCUACGGGAGGCAGCAGUGGGGAAUAUUGGACAAUGGGCGCAAGCCUGAUCCAGCAAUGCCGCGUGUGUGAAGAAGGCCUGCGGGUUGUAAAGCACUUUCAGUUGGGAAG